UGUGACUCUGUCCCUGGGAGGCAGGCAAGAGGCCACAACCUGCUCGUAUCGUUAUCUCAUGCUGCGUCACAGGCUACCCCCAGCUGAGAGGCUUGCAGCAAAAGGAACAUUGACUGCCUCCGACGGACCCUGUGGUCGGGACUCAGGAGGGGCUCAGCCGGGCGGCGCUGGCUCAGGGCCCCGCAGGAGGUUGCAGCCAGGAGUCAGCAAGGGCUGCAUCUGCCGCAGGAUCAACCGGGGCGGAGGAGCCACUUCCAAGGCGGCUCACCCGCGUGCCUGGCGGCUGGGCCGGGCUGCUGGGGGGAGGCUCAGCUCCUCACCGAGUGGCUCCUCCAGAGUACUGGCUUCCCCGGCGGGUGACCCAAGGAGAGCAAGGCAGAGCCGCAGCGUCUGUGUGAUGGAGCCUGGAAGUCGUUUCUGCCGUAUCUCGUGGUCCCAGCCUCUUUAUUUCACUCCUGUGGGCAGAAGGCAAAGAGAAUCCAUGGCUAGCAGUGGGCACGGGAAGCAGAUUUUUCUGGUGCUUCCAGAAGCAGAGCAAGCCGGCUAGUCCCUCUCUGCAGUGAGACUGAGCUGAGCCAGAGCAGAGAGGUCCUUCACCGCACAGGCCCGGUGACGUCCGCCCCAGCCAGCAGCGGUGUCCCACCCCCGCCGGGAGGUGCGUGUGCCAGCUUUCUCAGCCCUGGACAUGCGGCUCCGCACAGGCUCCUUGGGACCCUUGGAAGAAACCUGAGGGUUCGCUUGCAGCAGGGCAGCCUGCCGGCAGGAGGACCAAGGAUUGGACGAGCCAGAAAGAGCGAGGCCUCUAUCGUAAGCCCAAUGAGACGUCAGCGGGAGGGAGGACGGGGGAAAGGGUGACAGGCACAGGUGUGUGGUGACAGAUGGUAAUUAGUCUGUGGGUGGUGGACACGAUGUAAUCUACACAGAAAUCGAAAUAUAACAAUGUACACCUGAGGUUUAUAUAACGUUACAAACCAAUGUUACCGCAAAAAAUCCCCCCAAACAGUAAGAUGAAUCUUCUUUUCUAGUCACGUUUGUAUCAGAUUGAAGUCUCUACAUAAAGCCGCACCAAAACAAUGUGGCAUUUAGAAAUACUUGGCUAACUUUUUAAUUAAUUUAAAAAAUUAAAUUAACUGAUUAAAUUAAAUUAAAUUAACUGGUUCUGUUGCGCAGCCAUCACCACCAUCGGUCUCUAGAACUCUUUCAUCUUGUAAAACUGAAACUCUGUUUCCAUUAAACACUAACUCCCUGCCCACCCCGGCCCCUGGCACCCACCCUUCUACUUUCUGUCUCUAUGAACUCACGACUGGAAGUACCUCAUAUAAGUGGAAUCCUGCAGUAUUUGUCCUUUUGUGACUGGCUCAUUUAGCUCAGCAUAAUGUCCUCAAGUUUCAUCCGUGUUGGAGCGUGUGUCAGAAUUUCAUUCCUUUUCAAGGCUGAAUAAUACUCCACUGUGUGGACAUGGCACAUUUUGUUAUCCAUUCAUCCGUCAAGAGACACAGGUUGCUUUCACCUUUUGGCUGUAGUGAAUAAUGCUGCUAUGAACAUGGGUGUACAGACAUCUGUUCAUGUCCCUGCUUUCAAUUCUUCUGGGUAUGUAUCUAAGAGUGGAAUUGCUGGAUCAUAUGGUAAUUCUAUUUUUAAUUUUUGGAGGAACCGCCAUACAAUACACAGUUAAAUUUAAUGUCGAUUCAACAUUUAUUGAGCAUCUGUUAUGUUACCGGAUGAGACAGUGGGGCCUCCGAGGACCUCACAAUGUAGAGGAAACUGUAGAUGUUUGGGGAACGAAGGCAUAUGAAAACUAGUCACCCUCUCUCCUACAACUGUGAUAGACGCAGGGCCACACAGGGCCCCCCGGCCAGGCUCGGCACAUGGCCUCACGUGGAGAUGAGCAGCCGACCACAGGAAGCGAUUGGAAAAGGGAUCCCUUCGUUAACAUGGGUCUGUGCCUGCUUCCCUCUGGGCCCCAGCUGGAUUCCGUCUUGGCCUUUUAGGGGGAGAAGAGGGUGACACCUGUGAAGGGACAGCCCUCCCCAGCCCAUCUGCCCAUGCCAGCUGCGUGGGAGAGCGGAGAGAAGCGAUGCUUUGAAAUACAAUGCCCAAGACAGACUCAGAAAGGAGCUGACGCUGCCAUGCCCAACCACACCAGACCGUUCCUCCAUGGGCCAGACGUGUGCGCAGCCUUGCGUGACACUGGGUGACAGUGUGCCGUUGACAAGCCCUAAGCCGUGUCCGGCUUUGUCCUGACUGCUCCACACGCCUUAGCUUAUCUGCGUUGGGAUGCAGACGGAAGGAACGGUGUUGAAAGCUUGCCUGAAUGGGGCAACAAAGUUUCCUGCCCUCCACGUCCAGGAGAGCAGUUUACUAGACUCCCGGCCAAGGCCAGAGGGUGAAAACCCCAUGCAAAGAGCGGUUCCUAAAAUGAGCCAGACAGAGGCCAGGAUCAGGUGUUCCCUGGCCCUCGGAGACUCGAGAGGGACAGGUCGUGCCAGCUCUCAAGUGACCUUAAAGAAGGGAAGAUGGACCGCUUAAGCUAACUCCUGGUAAUUCAGACUCCAGACCACCAGGCUCCAAUAACCAGAACCCCUGCAAGCUUGUGCCCCCCUGGCUGAUGGGGACUCACCACGACCAGCCUCAGGCCCCAUUAAAAAUUCUAGACGUGCCCUCUGUGUCAUCGAGGAAAAAUAAAAAAUAACCUCCGGCUUGGUUUUAGUGCUUUCAAUUCUAUUAUAUCUUAACACCCUGAAUUUUGAUGACCUAUAAUGUGGCUUGUAAGCUGAGCCUCCACUCAGCCAAACAUGCGAUCACGCAUUGCCCCAUCUCCUGAAUCUUAGGAAUGAGGGGGCAGCACCGGGGCGGAGCCCACAGGGUUAGGAGGACUGCAGCCACAAGGAAAGUGAGCCGCAGCCAAGUUCGGGAGCCGGCCAUGCGUAUCUUCUUGUCUUCUUUCGUGGAUGGCGUCAUUUGCAGCUGAGACACAGAUCUGAGCCUGGCUGAGUGCUGGCUCGUUUGCCUGUUUCCCGCCCGGAAGGGGAGAAGCGGUGACGACGUCUUAACCAGCUGCCGCUUUGAGGCCCAGGCAGUAACUUCCCCGCCAGUUACAGCUCAGCGGCCCCGUGAGGGGAGGGAGGACUCAUCCUCCAGCCUGGGAGUGCCCUGACCCAGCCCACGACAAGUGACUCAUUUACACACCUCCCAGAAGCAGCAAACAGCCUGGCCUCUCCCAUGCUUGGGCUGAGUGCUUAUGAUACUGUCAGCCCUUUGUGGCCAAAAUUCCCUUUUCCCCAAGUAUAUCCAACGGGAUGACUCACUCUCCGUGACCCAAGUUAACCCAACACACGCAGACACAGGCACAGGGUGAUUCAAUCCUCCCACUCUGGAGGAGGGUGUCGGGGAGUAUAAGAAAGAGGGGUGGGGGCAGGUGGGGGAGUGGUCUGAUUCCCACUGUCACAGCCACGAGAAGAAACUAAGUCCCAGGGGCUGGGGGCAGAGGUGGGCAUUGCAGUGCUGUGUCACUGUCACCCGCAGAGCUCAGACUUCCCAGGGAGGAUCCUGAGUCAACAUCUGCUGUGACCGGACAGUGGCUUUGAGGUUGUCCACCCAUCCCACAGCCACAAACGCUUUCACUGCAUACAGCCCUCUGCUCAAUGCUGUGGAGGACACAGUGUGCUUGGGAACGGGUCCUCCCUCAGCAAGCCCACAGUAGCAAGGGAGAUAAAACUACAAUAAAGGUGGGAAAGGACCAUUUUCCAAGGAGAGGUGCCUACUGAAUGUAACAGACACUGUGGUUAACCUUCCCUUCUUACUGAUACAACCCUGAUCUUAGGCAGGGAUGGAGUAGAGAUCUCUAGAUUUCAAAGAAGAUAAUCCCUUUCUUGGGGUGGGCAUGUGACCCAGUUCUGCAUGAUAGAAAUAUGCCAGAAGGCUUCUCGGAAAGAUACUGUGGCCAUCCUUAUUGAGACCACACAUCCUGUGGCCUUGUGGUUUUGAAGGUGGUAUGAUGGCUAGAGCCACAGCAGCCAUCUUGUAACCAAGAGGCAACAAUCUUUUUUUUUUAAGUUUGCUUUUACUUAUUUAUUUAUUUUUUGAGGUAACAUUGGUUUGUAACAUUAUAUAAAUUUCAGGUGCACAUCAUUAUAUUUCGAUUUCUGUGUAGACUACAUCAUGUUCACCACCCAAAGACUAAUCACCAUCCAUCACUGUACACAUGUGCCCUAUUGCCCCUUUCACCUUCCUCUCUGCCCCCUACCCGUCUGGUAACCACCAAUCUAAUCUCUAUAUCUAUAUGCUUGUUUGUUCUUGUUGUUUUUAUCUUCUACUUAUGAGUGAGAUCACACGGUAUUUGACUUUCUCCAUCUGACUUAAUUCGCUUAACAUAAUACCCUCAAGAUCCAUCCAUGUUGUCACAAAUGGCAAUAUUUCAUCUUUUUUUAUAGCUCAGUAGUAUUCCAUUGUGUAUAUAUACCACAUCUUUAUCCAUUCAUCUGCUGAUGGGCACUUAGGUUGUUUCCAAGCCUUGGCUAUUGUGAAUAAUGCUGUGACGAACAUAGGGGUGCAUGUAUCUUCACACAUUCAUGUUUUUGUGUUCUUAGAAUAAAUACCCAGCAGCAGAAUACCUGGAUCAUAUGGUUGUUUCUAUACACUAACAAUGAAAUAACAGAAAGAGAAAUUAAGAAUAUAAUCCCAUUUACAAUUGCAACAAAAAGCAUAAAAUACCUAGGAAUAAAUUUAACCAAAGAGGUGAAAGAUAUGUACACUGAAAACUAUAAAACAUUGUUGAAAGAAAUCAAAGACACAAAGAAAUGGAAAGAUAGUCUGUACUCUUGGAUUAGAAGAAUUAGCAUAGUUAAAAUGUCCAUAUUACCUAAAGCAAUCGACAGAUUCAGUGCAAUCCCUACCAAAGACCCAGUUUUCACAGAAAUAGAUCAAAGAAUCCUAAAAUUUAUAUAGAACAACAAAAGACCCCAAAUAGCCAGAGAAAUCCUGAGAAAAAAGAGCAAAGCUGGAGGUAUCACACUCCCUGAUUUCAAAAUAUACUACAAAGCCAUAGUAACCAAAACAGCAUGGUACUGGCACAAAAACAGACACACAGAUCAAUGGGACAGAAUCGAGAGCCCAGAAGUAAACCCAGAAUGGACAGCUAAUUUUCGACAAGGGAUCCAAGAACAUACGAUGGAGAAAGGAAAGUCUCUUCAUUAAAUAGUGCUGAGGGGCCUGCCCCCUGGCCGAGUGGUUAAGUUCGUGCACUCCACUUCAGUGGCUCAGGGUUUCACUGGUUUGGAUCCUGGGCACGGAUGUGGCACCGCUCAUAAAGCCAUGCUGAGGUGGCAUCCCACAUGCCGCAACUGGAAGGACCCACAACUAAAAUAUACAACUAUGUACCAGGGGGCUUUGGGAAGAAAAAGGAAAAAUAAAAUCUUUAGGGAAAAAAAUGUUUCUGAGAAAACUGGACAACCACAUGCAAAAGAAUGAAAGUAGACCAUUAUCUUACGCCAUGCACAAAAAGUGACUCAAAAUGGAUUAAAGACUUGAAUGUAAGACCUGAAACCAUAAAACUGCUAGAAGGAAACAGAGGCAGUAUGCUCUUUGACACUGGUCUUAGAAGCAUGUUUUCGAAUAGCAUGUCUCACCAGGCAAGGGAAACAAAAGAAAAAAUAAACAAAUGAGACUACAUCAAACUAAAAAGCUUCUGCACAGCAAAGGAAACCAUCAACAAAAUGAACAGACAACCUGACAAUUGGGAGAAGAUAUUUGCAAAGCAUAUAUCUAAUAAGGGGUUAACAUCCACAAUAUAUAAAGAACUCAUACAUCUCAACAACAACAAAACAACAACCCAAUUAAAAAACGGGCAAAAGAUCAGAACAGACAUUUCUCCAAAGAAGAUGUAGAGGUGGCCAAUACGCACAUGGAAAGUUGUUCAACAUUAUUAAUUAUUAGGGAAAUGUAAAUUAAAACUACAGUGAGAUAUCACCUCCCACUGGUCAGAAUGGCUGUAUUAAGAAGACAAGAAAUAGCAAGUGUUGGAGAGGGUGUGGAGAGAAGGGAACCCUCGUACACUGCUGGUGGGAAGGCAAACUGGUGCAGCCACUAUGGAAAACAGUAUGGAGAUUCCCCAAAAGAUUGAGAAGAAGCAACCAUUUUAAAGACCAAUAGGCAACACAAUGAGGAUGAUGGAGGAGACGGAAGAAAUUUGCCUGGGUCUUCAGUGACUUGAUUGAGUAGCUGAAUCAAUGCCUUGUAGCUCCAAUCUCCCAAUUUCUCACUGUGUGGGAAACACACGCUCUGGAUAUCCUAAGGCUAUUUUGGAUGGAUUUCCUGUUACUCCCAGCCAAAAGCAUUCCCGAUUGUUACAUUGAGACACUGGGGGAGUAUGGAAAAAAGAGAAACUAAUUUUCAGUUGAAUGGACUAGGAAACAAAGAUUAAGAGGCACUCAUUUAGGCCUUAACCAUGUGAUUUGUAUGUAGGAGGCUGGAGAAAAGGCAUUCUGAAGGAAAAGGCCAUCUAUGCAAUGACAAUAAUAGUAAUAUCAUUUAUUUAGUAAUUACUAUGGUCCAGGCAGUGUUCUAAGGACUCCACAUAUACAUUAUCUCGUUGAAUCCAGCAGUAAACCAACGAAAGAGAGAUUAACAUCAAGUGCAUUUUGCAGAGGAAAUAGCUUCAGAGAAGGUAGGUAACCUUCCCCCUAAGUGGCAGAGGUGAGAUUCAACUCCAGGCUGUCUGACCCCAGAGCCUUUCUUCUUAGCAUGCACACAUUUAUCUUAAUCUGAGGGUAUUUCCUAGAUAAAGUGAUAUGUAACCCAAAGUUGGAGGAUGAACAGGUGUUGGACAGGCAAAAAGUUGGGGAAGAGAAGAGUAUUUGUGGGCAGAGGUGGCCUGGGGCGGGAGGUAGGGCACCCCCGGAGGCGAUGCGAGCACGUGGUUAUUCACUGCUGCCCUGUUUGCAAGAGUAGAGGAGCCAGGGGAUGGAACCCACAUGUCCGUCAGAGGAGAGUGGUCAAGUGACUGCUGUGCAGCUGUGUUAGAGAAUGAGACAUCACGCACUGGUCAGGAAGGCUCUGCAGGGCGUGCGAGGUGAGAGGCAAGGCACGCAGUAGCGUGCUAUUGUGCUACUUUUCCUGUCAAGAGGCAGACAGGGAACAGGGGUUUGUAAUCACUUGUGUAGGCAUAACAACUCUGGGAGGAGAAACAAGACACGGAGACAUGAUCACCUACACGCAUGUGGCACUGCAUCUUUAAACCACAUGAAUGUUUACCUCUCCUGGAGAAAAAUAAGAGAGGUUCAAGAAAGUACAGGCAGUUGGGGGGCCUGCUGCGAAGAGGGUCAGUGGUUCACCGGGACAGGCAUAGAUGGGGCAGGUGGAGGGAGAGGCAGACGGGUCCCAGGAGCCUUGCGGAAGAGGCCAGGUGCUGAGACAAGAAUCCGGCCUUUUGCUACGGGUGCUGGGAAACUGGAAUGCUUUUUUUAAAAAAAAUUUUUUUUAAGGAAAAUUUCAAACAUGCACAAAAAUGAACAGAGGAGUAUGAUGGAUCUCCCUGUGCCCUUCACUGAGCCCCAGCAGUCACCCUGCCCCCCGAAAAAGGGAUCAUUGCAAAGCAGAUUCCAGACAUCACACAAAUCCCUACUUCCUCUGCAGUGUGUGUCGCUAAGAGCUCUUCUUUAACAUGAGCACAAACCACAAUCACAUCUAAAGCACUCCCAGGAACUCCUAAAUAUCGUCAAAUAUCCAGCCAUAUGUAAGUUUCUGCGAUUGCCUCAUAAAGGAAUGUUCUCCGGGUGGAUUGUUCAGUUCAGGCCAAUUCAGGAUCCCGCCGGGCCGGCACGUGGCACUUGGUCAGCGGCCUCUGUGGUCUUUCGGGUCCUCCUCCCUCUGUCUUCCCUUACUCUUUGCUGGCUGAAGAAGCCAGGCGAGGUGGCCUGCCUCUCGCCAGGCGCACACCCAGAGUGGUGACAUGCUUCCCUGUCCCUGUGCUCUCUGUGAACGGGAGCUCCAGAGCGUGACUGGAUCUGGGCUCGCUUUUUCUCCUGUUUUCCUCCUUGCAUUACUGCUUCAGAGACGGUGCUGGGCACUACCUGGAGGUGUGUGAGGCCUGGCUGGCUCUCCUCCCACAGUGCUGACAUCCGUCCAGGCUUUCCCAUGUUGCCAGCACCAAAGCUCGAGGGAGAGGAGAGCCAGGAGCGGGUGUGGGUUUUGGAAGGUCCCCUGUGGCUGCAGUAUGGAGAUCUAUGCUUUGACUCCAUCCUCGGGAUUUUGGGGAGGUAAUGGGGGAGACCCUUCUAGGUCUGGCCUGAGGUGGUGGGCUGGAGGGAAGAGGAAAUCUUUGCAAUAUUAAAGAGAUGGAGUUGACGUCAUUUGGCCAGUGACGGGCUGAGCAGCUGAGGGAGGACUGUGGCUGGAGCAGCAGGGUGCCCCGCCAGCCCUUCUUUGAGGCCAUUGAGGUGGAAAAGGUGAAGAGAAUGAAGGUUGAGAGGCAGAUGGUGACUUGCGCUUUGGACACUUGGAAUUUGAGAACCUGAGAUACGAUCAAGAGGGACGUUUAGUGGCAGCUGGCUAGCCAGAGCCGACCUCAGAAGAGAGGCUGGGGACGGUGAGGCAGACCCAGGAGGCAGCAGAGCUAGCUCGCGACCGACGCCCCGGGAAGGCGGGAGAUCUCAGCGGGACCACAGAAGCCAAAAGAGGAGAGCUCGCGUUCAUGAGGCACCCUGAUGAGCAGGGGCCCUCGAUGGAGCCACGUGUUGGGGAUCCGCGGCACAUGGGCUGGUCGUGGUCUUGGGGAGGGGGCGUAACCGCGAGGGGCAGAGCAGCCCCUGGAGCAGGGAGGGGAAAGGGAAGCGAAGGUGUCUGCUUCCUAGACUGCACUCGGAUAGAGCCCUUCCACGCGGACGGGUCCGACCCCCAGGAGAGCUGCAGGACAGCCUGCAGGGGCACGGGGCCCACCCCACAGCCCGCCGAAGCCGCUCCCGGGUCAACACCCGCAGACACUCGUUGGGACCUGCGCCAGGGGCGAAGAAGGGUCCCGGCAGCCCCGCGCUGGCAAGCACCCGGCUCCGCCGCGACGGCAGCAGGUGUGCUGCCCACACUCUGCGAGGUCGCGAGGGGACACGCUCGGAGGGGGCGCGGAUGCGCUCUGCGAGGUGGUGCGCAGACACGCUCCAAGGGGGCCGAUGCGCUCUGUGGAGGCCCGUGGGGGACGCCGCAGUACCCAGUUCCCUCCGCCCUGUGCCCAGCCUGCAGGAUGCAAGACGCUGGAACGCUCCACUUACAGAAGUUCAAGGGCAGGCGAACCAAUGUCCCGCGUCAGAGGUCAGACAGUGAUGACUCUGGGAGGAGGUCGGGGUUCCUAGGGGACCAGUUCUGAUCCUUCGUGACCUGGGGCGGGCGGCACAGGAUUUUCCGCGUGAGCAGUGCGCUGCUCUGCGCACGUGCUGGACUCCACUGAAGCUUUCUAAAAAAACAGCCACCUCGAGAGGCAGCCCGACGGCGAGAUUAGCCCACGCCCUGCCAGGCCUCUCCUGCUCUGCCCCCCUCAUCCUCGUCACCCCCACCCCUUCUGCCUGGGACACCUCCCGCAGCCCCUGCUGCGUCAUUUUUUAAAAAGACAUUAAAGAAAGCCACGCGGCAUGUCCAGCUCCCUCUCUGAAGGCUCCCCAGCUGGUUGACUUCUCUUAAAGAGCAGUAGGGAGAGAAGAUGCUCAGAGAUGGCGGGAGGCCCAAGGGGCUAAGUGCCAUGGAAGAAAGCAGCACAUUCCAAGCUCUGCCCCUGGGUAGGAGGCUGGGCCACUGUCUCAGGGCUUCCCUCAGCCCUCCAUCCGCUGGGAGGGACAGGGGCUCAGACCGUGGCUCUGGAGCACGCGCCCAGCGCUCACCCUUGUCUCUUGCAGCCACCCCAGGCUCGGAAUCCUGGGCGCCGUGGAGGAUCCCUGUCAUGGAGGGGUGCAUGGCGAAUGGGACUCCGUCCUGUCCUUCCCGCCUGGGCUUGUUCCCACUGCCAGGGGUUCCAAAGAGUUGCCCAUGAUGUGGGCUUGGUGGCACUCCCAAUUAAGGACAGCGUGUCUUCACCACACAUGGCUGUGCACACGUGUCAUCACAUGAGGCCCUCAGGGAGGGGCUGCCCGACCUUUACUCUGAGACUGUGGCCUACAGUAGUUUUUGUGGGGCAGGGGGGCUAAAAAUAGCCUUUAUUCCCCUAUACUGAUGGCCAAGAUAGCUGCUAAUUUGAUUUUCCUUUUAAUACUCUUAAUUUAGGACGCAAAAAGUUGGCAGACUUAGGCAGUCCCCAAAAUGUUUUUUUUAAAUUAAUUUGUUUUUAUGAUCCAAGAACCCCCAAGACUGGGCACCACCCGGCACCACAGAGGGCUUUAACCCCGUCUCCCCUCGACCCUUAGAAGGAAACUGUCAAGUGGGAGGGCAGGCAUCUUUCUCUCCCCCUUGCAAACGAAAAACAGCCUUUGCUGAGCUGAAUAAUCCACCUAAAGUCUCCGGGCCCCCGCACGCCCGCCUCCCGGCUGCGCCGCCUCCCAAGUGUCUGCUGCACAGAAAAGUGGGAAAUUACCAUUUAAUCAAAAUCUUCAAGGUCUGGGAACUUCUAGAUCAGUGACAACGCCACCCCUGAGGGGCCUUAUACCUAAUCUUCCAUUACUGCUAAAGCUGCUGAGCGCCACCCCCCCACCCUCCUAACCAGGACGCGGGAAGGGCAGAGGCAGCCGCCCGGGCCCUGGAGACAACACCCUGUCUUCCAGCUCGUGCUGGUCCAUUUGGAGCUGUGUCAAACACUCUGUCUUGCUUUGUAGUUCCUGGGACAAAAUGAAAAUCUUGUUCAAUCUGAGGUUUGCAAAUUAGCGGGCACUGUUCCAGAUCAUUCAGUUCCGUCUAAACCUCUGGAACAUGGAAGCCAGUAACCCCACAGGUGCCCAGGGACAGCUGUGUCUCAAGGCAGUCGUCUUUCAUUGGCAGAGGUACAGCCUUCUCUGCCACUUUCUGAUUUUUCACAGGCACUGAGUCAGAGCUGAGGAGCAAUCCAUCCCUGUUUCUAAGGCCAUCUGUGAGCUGGGUGGCAGUGGAGAGGAGCAGGCACGGAAGCUGAGAUGGCACUCCUACUGGGAUGCUCCCCGGGCAGACCAAUGGAUGUGCGUUGUCCAUCCCUCCUUAGGACAAGCCCAGAAGCUGUAACAGAUGGCUGCUGCGUUCUUCCUUUUGGAGGUGUCAGGGGUGGAAAGCUCUUGGAUUUCUCUGGCAGGUUACUGUCAGGGCGGGGGACCAGUGCAUUAGGCAGUAGGUGAUCCCUUUUGAGAACUUAAUCCAUAACUGCUCCCUUCUUUGAUGCCACUGGCAGGGCAUAAACUCAGAGCAGGAGAGAGGAAAACAGAGCCCAUUCUGUGAGAAGCCACCUGGUUGGCAAGGCGGGAGUGGAAGGAGAGAAAAGAGAUGGUUAGGACUUGAUCCCCCUGUAAUUUCCCAGUGCCGAUGCUGGGAACUAUGGUGCUCUGGGAAGACCAGGGGUAUACAGAGUGUGGAGGGUGGCUGAGGAGGAGGAGUUGUCCCUUAUAGGGGAAUGAGGGAAGGCUUCCGGGAGGAGGUGUCCUAGUGGCCCCAUUUGGGAGGGUAGGAGGGUUUCUGCAGGAGGCAUUCCAGACAGAAGGAAGAGCAGCUGACUUCUACGUGGGAAAGACAGUGGGUGAGAAUCAGGAAGAAAUGAUUUUGAGAGACAUGACUGGUGAGUAAGCACAUUGGUCAGGGAGAUGCGAAGGAAGACCAGAGGGAGGCCCCUUCUGACACCCUCUAAUCAGCAGAAGAUAAGAAAUCUGACAAUACCGCGGCUGGGGAGAGGUGUGGAACAACAGGAACGCUCACCCACAGUCGACGGGUGUGCAAAUUGUUGCAGGCACGCUGGAGAACAAUGCUGCCUUGUCCAGUCGGGGGGACGAGCCCGUUCCCUGUAACCCAGCAGUUCCGCUCCCAGGCACACAUGCGAGCUUUGAGCCCCAGGCACAAGAUGCCCUCAGCAGCCCCGCUCACAGCAGCAAAGACUGGAAAGGGUACAGCUGCUCACUGGCAGGUGGAGGGCCACAGAAACCGAGGUUUAGUCACGCAUGGAACCAGAAGUAGCGGUGAAAACGAGCCAGGACUUCUGUCCCCAAACAGAUCCUGGCCCGACUUUCAUUGGCAGAAAUGGUCCUGUGGGCCCAACCCUCAGUCAAUCAUUUAGGCAGGGGGAUAGAAUGCAUAAUUGCUCAAGCCAGGCAGGGCUCCCUUCUGAGGUUCCACCUAAACCGAAACUGGGCUGACAGUGGGGGAGGAGUGCGUCCCCAAAGGAAAUGGGGGUACCACAGAGAGCAUUGUUGGUGCCCUUGACACCCCACAUCACUGUUGAUGUGUCCUCCUGCCCCUAGCCCAGCUGCCGGGAGCUCUGGGGCUCCCACCUGGGCUCCGGGACCCCUUCCCGCUCUGCCCUGGGGGUUUGGGUCCUGGUGCCCCUGCCCACGACAGCACAGGGCCAGCGAGCGACUGGUGAGGGAAGAGGAUCGCAGGACGACUGGGAGGUGUGACCUUCCCCUAAAAUCUCACCCUUAGUUUCCUCCCCUUCCUUCACUCCCUCCCCAGGCUUCUCUUAGCAGCCUUCAAAUCUUUGACUCACAUCCAUUUCUGGAGGAGUCUGACCUAAGACAUUUCACCAAGCGAGAAGCGAACAGAGCCUGAGCUCCAAACACAACAGACAGCAAGAGGAACAGCAGAGGGAAGCGGGUUCGCAAACCUGGAUGAGCCGCAAACCUCUCUGGACUUCGUUCAGCUUCCUCAUUUAAAAACAAAAGUUUACAGAAGAAACAACUAUGAGUGGCCAGGAAACAUGUGGAUGCACGCACGGCACCGUGAAUAGUCAAAGAAACAAAAGCAUUUUCCCUCUGUCAGGUGGCAGGGAUGGGGAGAAUGUGGGCCGGGUGCCGGGAGGGCCUCUCCUGCUUUAUUGAUGGAAGCAUAAAUUGAUACAAUCUUUUGGGAGGGUAGUCGGGCAGUAUCUAUAAAAAUAUUAGGUGGGAAAACCUUUGACCCAGCAAUUCCACUUCUGUGAAUUUAUCCUGCAGCAAUACAUGCACAUGAAUGCAAAGAAAUGUAUACAGAUAUGUAAAUUCAGACUGUGACAGCGACAACUUAUAAACAACCUGAAUGUCCUUCAGUUGGGGACUGGUUAAAAAUGAGGGCGCAUUCCUACAGGGACAUACCAGACAGCCAUCAGGAGGAACGUGCUCUGCCUCUGGGUUCUGAUGAAAAAACCUGCCCAGCAUCUAGGACUCGGCGAACAAAGCAAAUCGCAAAGCAGGAUGUACAGUGAAAUCCCCUGUUUAUAAGAAGUAUUUCUAAAUAUAAAUAUUAUAAAUUUGCAAAUGCUUAGAACACAGUCUGGAAGAAUGCAAUUGGACUGGCUCACCUGUGGUUCCUCCUGGGAGUGGGGGUGGGGAUUUUCUCGGCAGUUUUUGGAUUCUUUUUAGUGUUUGUUUUUAAGAAAAUGGGUCACUUUCCUCAUUUUUUCUAACUUGGAAAUUUUAAACGGGAGUAAUUAAAUGCCUGUUGACCAGGCCCUCUGCCCUGAGCUUCACCACAGACUAUGCUGUCUCGUCCUCACGGCAGCCCUGUGAAUGGGAAUUGCUGCCGUCCCCCACAUUACAGAUGAGGAGACACAUCCAGAGGGCCACGGAGGUCACAAGAUGCAGAGCCGAGACCCUAACCCAGACGCAGGUCUGGACCCUUAACCACGAUGCCGCCUUAGCUCACAAGAGUAACAUGAGGGGUCAUCCAACUUCAUUCCGUAGCAGCAGAAGCCCUGUGUUCAAAGAAAAUGGAAUGGAAGUCCAAUUUAUAAACCGGAUAAGAAGGGGGUCAUUCUGGUAGAAGAGAAGCCGCGCUACUCUCUCUGCCCCUCCCUUCAUCACACCCCCACCAAGGGCCACAGGGUUCCCAGGAGCCUGGUUUGAAAAUAUGAAGCCAGGCACCUUUGAGGGCCCUGCUCUUUGUUUGACACGCCAGGAUUCUAAUAAUGCCGCUUCCAUUGAAAGGGACUGAAAGGAAAGAAGGCAGAACUGUGUUACCAGGUCAUUCAAAACCAAGUGAGGAGUCAUCACGCUUUAAAUAAAAAGCUAAGUGUCGAAAGUCAAGCGUCACCUCCUGAUUGAGCCUCAGCAGGUUGAUGGAACCACUGUCCCCCAUAGAACGCCUGGGUGCAGAAGACACUCCGGCGUGGUGAAUGCUGUUUUGAUAAAAAACCUGGACCCUCAACAUCACCAGCCUGGAACAGCAGCUCCCCUCACCUACGCUUUCUUCCGUGUUUGUCUCUCCCCAUUAGAACAGGCAGCAAUUUCUGCCCAUUCUGCUCACUGUCAGGCCAGCUCAUAGCAGAUGCUCAAUUAAUGCUUGAUGAAUGAAUGAAUGAAUGAACGAACAAACGAACACGGGUUUGACUGACCGACCUCUAUGCAAGCAGGCACCAACUAACAGUUCUUAAGCCGCAGUGGCUUUGAGAUUUAAGCUGCAAAACAAGAUAAAUAAUCGCACUGGGAUUUUAGCUCAUCAAAUAAGAUAAAUACCCGAGUCCAUACUGACGUAAAUAAAUGAGUGUGUAAAUAAACGGGGACGAGUUCCACUUAAUGAAUGGGGAAGGAGUGAGGGAGACAGCAGGUCACCGUGAGAACGCCACGUGGCUGGAUCCACUCACGGAUGCUAAAAUCAGUGGGAGGACGUGUAAGGAGGAGCUGGAUUUGCACAGUCGCAAAGUAUUUCCCUCAAAAUAUUAAUUUGUCAAUUACAAAGGGAAAAAUGAUAACUUUACAAUAAAGAAACCCGGCAGACACCUGUUUAACUAAGUGGUCAAGGUCAACAUCCCCCGCAGCGGACACACUGAGAUCACGGAUCUCUUGAUAUGAUGCACCAAGGACUCAUCAGCAUUUCUGUGGCGAUUCUUCCCAAAAUGCAUAACCUCAGUAAAAUCAGAAGAAAACAUCAGACAGACCCAGAUAGAGCAAGAUUUCACAAAAUAUCUGACCAGUACUCUUCAAAAAUGUCAAGAUCAAAAAAAAGAAAGAUGAGGAAAGACCGAGGAACCAUUACAGAUUGAGAGAGACCAAGGAGACGUGGCAGCUACAGGCAAUGUCAGAUCUGGAACGGAAAAAGAACACUGGCUGGGGGUCAGCGAACUACGGUCUGCGGGCCAAGUUUGGCCCUCUGCCUGCUCUUGUAAAUCCACUUUUUUUGGUACACAGCCGAGCCUGUCCAUCUAUGUGUCGUCCAUGGCUGCUUCGGGGCUACGACAGAAGAGCUGAGUGAUUGCAACAAAGACCACAUGGCUCACAAAGCCGGAAAUAUUUACUAUCUAGUCCUUUACAGAAAGAGUUUGCUGACUCCUGUGUUAGUGGAGAAACUGGUGAAAUCUGAAAAAGCCUGUAGUUUAGUUAAUAGUAUUUUAACAAUGUUGAUUUCUUUUUUUUAAUUCAGCUUUUUUGUUUUAAAGAUUGGCACCUGAGCUAACAACUGUAGCCAUCCUUUUUUUUUUUUUUCUGCUUUAUCUCCCCAAAUCCCCCCGGUAUGUAGUUGUGUACUUUUAGUCAUGAGUCCUUCUAGUUGUGGCAUGUGGGAUGCCGCCUCAGCGUGGCCUGAUGAACGGUGCCAUGUCCACGCCCAGGAUCGGAACCAGCAAAACCCUGGGCUGCCACAGCGGAGCGCGCGAACUCAACCACUCGGCCCCUGGGCCGGCCCCAGCAAUGCUGAUCUCUUAGUUUUGAGAAUUAUCCCAUCGUUCUACAAGAUGUAAUCGUUAGGCAAAACUGGGUGAAGGGAAUAUGCAAACUCUCUGUACUAUCUUUGCAACUCUUCUGUAAAUCUAAAAUUAUUUCAAAAAUUAAAAAAAUUUUAAUUAA
rnacentral:lncRNA from 1 species